rnacentral:rRNA from 1 species
UACGGAGGGGGCUAGCGUUGUUCGGAAUUACUGGGCGUAAAGCGCGCGUAGGCGGACCUGCAAGUCGGGGGUGAAAGCCCGAGGCUCAACCUCGGAACUGCCUUCGAUACUGCGGGUCUCGAGUCCGGGAGAGGUGAGUGGAAUUCCUAGUGUAGAGGUGAAAUUCGUAGAUAUCAGGAGGAACACCGGUGGCGAAGGCGCCACUCUGGGCCGAGACUGACGCUGAGGAGCGAAAGCGUGGGUAGCAAACAGG